GUGCCAGCAGCCGCGGUAAUACCGGCAGUCCGAGUGAUGGCCGAUAUUAUUGGGCCUAAAGCGUUCGUAGUUGGCCGACCAAGUCUCCCGGGAAAUCCACCCGCCCAACGGGUGGGCGUCCGGUAGAAACUGGCCGGCUUGGAACCGGAAGGCUCAGAGAGUACGUCCGGGGUAGGAGUGAAAUCCCGUAAUCCCGGACGGACUACCGAUGGCGAAAGCACUCUGAGAAGACGGCUUCAACAGUGAGGGACGAAAGCUCGGGUCUCAAACCGGAUUAGAAACCCCGGUAGUCC
rnacentral:rRNA from 1 species